rnacentral:rRNA from 1 species
GUGGGGAAUCUUCCGCAAUGGGCGAAAGCCUGACGGAGCAACGCCGCGUGAGUGAAGAAGGCCUUCGGGUCGUAAAGCUCUGUUGUCGGGGACGAAUGUAGCGCUUAUCAACAACGAGUGCUAAUGACGGUACCUGACGAGGAAGCCACGGCUAACUACGUGCCAGCAGCCGCGGUAAUACGUAGGUGGCGAGCGUUGUCCGGAAUUAUUGGGCGUAAAGGGAGCGCAGGCGGGAGGCCAAGUCCAUCCUAAAAGUUCGGGGCUCAACCCCGUGAGGGGAUGGAAACUGGUCUUCUUGAGUGCAGGAGAGGAAAGCGGAAUUCCUAGUGUAGCGGUGAAAUGCGUAGAUAUUAGGAGGAACACCAGUGGCGAAGGCGGCUUUCUGGACUGUAACUGACGCUGAGGCUCGAAAGCCAGGGGAGCGAACGGG